GUGAGUUUUCCAAUCUGCCAUCUCAGCUCAGAACAAUAGACGUCCAUGACAGAUACCUCAGUUACAUUCAAUGUUCUUGUCAGUGGUUAUUGUUAAUUCAGAGGCACGCCCUACUCUGCGAGACGGGAGAAGAAAGAGCUCCAAAGCUCCCAGCCUGGGAAGUGUGAAAAAACACUUAGGGUGGUUGCUUGCGCUUUGGUGAGGUAGAAAUAAACUAGGUUAGAUUUUCCCACUGGAUGGUGGAAGGCACGAGCGGCGACACAUCCCUUCAAACUGCCAAGCUAUCUCAGUUCAAAGGCAGCUUGUCACAUGGGACCCAUUGCAUCUCGUGUUCCAGGAUCCGGUCCAAAGUAAUGACAGCGGCACUGAAGUGGAACCAAAUGGCAGAGUAUGACGCACAGUGUACAUAAUAUUACCUUGUGAUCAACUUGAGAAGAGCACCACACACAUCGGCUGAGAUAGUCCCGACUUUCCGCCAUGUGUUUGUGUUAUUGAUGAGCUGACAGUGAUGGUUCGUAGUGUUGUACCUUUUUCAACAUUCCCCGGCUUAUGCACUUUCAACCUACCCAGAGUACAAGAACUGACAACAUGUCAGCGGGAGAGUCCUGCAGCAUAUUUCUCUUUUCCCCAUCUACCUACACAUCCGUGCUAAUCCACCUUCGCACAUUCUCGUGUCUAUUUGAAAAUUGUUUCUGGAGCCAGCCUUUGUGUGUCCAGUGGAACUAACAUGCUGAAAGCAGCCUUCAGAGGAAAAUUGAAUAUGAAAGUACAUACCACUUAGUGGGGGGCAAAUGCAUGACCAUCAAAAUCCUGUUUCCAUUUCAUAACAAAAAAAAACAAACAACUGUUAAAUUAUUCACAAUUUACUAAAAGUAGCUCUAGCGUACGUUUCAGUCAGGAAGACUACCCUAAUGCUCACAUUUGGUAUUAUAUUUAUUCUCAUUCAUCUUGCCUGUCACGCAUGCUUUCUUGGGCGGUCACUUCAGCGAUCAGCUGUUCAUCAGCUGAUCUCGUCUAUCCAGUAGCAUUGCAACACACCUGCCUCAUUAGCCUAUCAUCUCGAUGCUGUUUGUUUAAACAUGGUUCUGCCUUAGUCCUCACAUACGGCAGGUAUGCGCACCCUCCCCUUCCAUAUCACCGCCCAAUCUGAACCGUCUCAGCAGGUUCUCAUCUCCUCUCCAUCAACUCAAGUCAUCAACCACCAUCAUCGCCACCAGUGUCUGGACUCCAUGGGGGGGAUUUGCGUUGCUGCCGCUCAGGACCAAUGCCCUCAUCUACAAUAUCUCCCCCAUGGAGUCUAAGCGCCAAAGACUCUAUCAAUAAUUUGUCAUCAUAUUAUUCUGCUACAUCUGCAAUAAAUAUAUUUACCUCA